GACGAACCGUGCGAACGUUGUUCGGAAUCAUUGGGCUUAAAGGGCGCGUAGGCGGGCUGGCCAGUCCGGGGUGAAAGCCCACGGCUCAACCGUGGAAGUGCCUUGGAUACUGCCAGUCUCGAGGGAGGUAGGGGCGUGCGGAACUUCCGGUGGAGCGGUGAAAUGCGUAGAUAUCGGAAGGAACACCAGUGGCGAAAGCGGCUUCCUGGUCCGCCACCGACGUUCAGGCACGAAAGCGUGGGGAGCAAACAGG
rnacentral:rRNA from 1 species